AGGACCACAGUCUGUCCCGGAGAGUGGCUUCUUCUUGGGUGUGGGCUCCAGAAUGAAGUGACACAUAGAACAACGUUGGAACCUGGAACAGAACUGAAGCCCAGGGAUGGCGCACAUAUCUGUUAUUAAGUUCUGCUCCGUGCAGUAUCGAUCCUGUGAAAUCAUGAAGUGGAAGAGAAGGCACAGAAAACCUGUAGGCUCGCUGGUCUGUGAUUGGUACAUGCAGAAACUCGAAAACUUCAGCACGAGUGAUCUUUACCACACAUAGGAACUAGGAUGAAAGUUGACAUUAAAGGCUGGCUAUCCGAAAGCCUGACAGCAACCCCCACUUGCUAACUGGAGAAUGAGCAUUUCAUCUAAGAAAGAGAAGAUCUCUCUUCAUUGCUGCAGUUGACUCAGAGAAGUCCAGAAACACCCAGGUUCCAGUGAAUGCAGAAGAUCGGUCCAGGAAGGUCUAAGUACAGGGGGGUAUGAGAAUACCAAUUCAUCACUUACCGACUAUUUGAGUACCUACCGUGAGCGAGACACUGUAUGGCCUUUUUUCCCAUGUGCUCUACUGAAGAGUCACAGAAUGGAGAAAUUCCCAUCUCUCUCCCACUGCCAACUUCCCAAAUCAGCCUCUCUAUAGUCUGACCCCACUGCCUAGGAAAUCCAUACCACACUCAUCAGCCCCGUUAACUAGCCAGGGCAGGCGGUGAAGAAGUAGGAGAGUCACGAGCACUGGUGGAUUGAACUGUGGGUGUUGGAGCCUCCAGCAACUGAGAGUGUCCUUUCCCUUCCCGUUUUUCCUUUUAUGGCCAGGUUUAAUGUUAUCGAUCUAGAAUUUCUGAUACUUCAGAGAAAACCCUAUGAGAUGUUGCCUAUGGCUCUCAGACCCCAUUCUCGUGAACACCCCAGAGCCUCUCUUGGAUCCUCACAGAGGGAAGGCUGCUGAAUUGCAGCUAUCUCUUCUUUUCUUUCCAGGUCUCCUUUAGGACGGAUACAUUCAGGGAAAUAAAUAGGAAUGUCUCUAUUGCUACUAUCUUGGUCUAAGCCACCGUACAUCUCACCUAGUUACUGUGAUGUUUUCCUAACUGGUUUCCCCACUUCUUCUUGACUCUCCCUCAGUCCAUUCUUAACACAGCAGGUGGAAUGAUCUAUUAAAACUCUUAAAGCUAGUCUGUUAAAACUCUUUAAGCUAGUCUGCCCACUUUCCCUUCCCGCCCUCCACUGUCCCUUCCUCCAUCUCCCUCACUCAAUCUCUUACUGCUCCCCUUGCUUACUAUAUAUGCGACAUCCCAGCCUCCUUUCUGUUUCUCCAACACACCUGUUUCUCCAGGCACCCUCUCACCUCAGGGCAUUUGCACUUGCCAUUCGUUCCCUCUGCCAGGUCCACUCUUCCCCAUAUCUGGCUCAUACCCUCACCACCACCAGGUCCAUACUCAAAUAUUACAUUCUUGAUGAGGAUUUCCCGGGCUGCCUGCUAUAUAUGAAAUUGUAACUUCCAGAGCCUUUAUUUCCUACUUUCCUUCCCUUCUUUAGGGU